rnacentral:lncRNA from 1 species
CUCUUUAUGGAUUUGCUGAAAAGUAAAUAAGCAAUCCCAACUGUCUGUCUCUUCAAAUAAGAGGAGAAUUAAUACUUUGACCUAAAAGAACACAAAUAUGCAUAUCAAGUGAAAUAAGGCUUCAGUUUCCUUAGUCAUGAUAACUGACACUCUUUCCUUUUCUGUCAUGUAUAAUUCUUAAGAGUCUUAACAUGUGGGCUCUGGAGCUCAGGCAAAAGAGCUAUGCAGAGGUUGCUGUUCUGAAGUGGCAAAGAGUUCUUGUGGAAGGAAUGAAUAUAACGUGGUCUGUGGUGUUCAUGAGACAAUCAAGAAAAGGUAAGAUAAUUUUUUAAAAUCAUGAAUUGGCUGAAUCUUGAAAAAUUGUAAAUAUCAUGUAACUAGUUCUCAACUGCAGACAUAGAAUAUACUUAAAGAUAGAGAACAUAUAUUAGUCAUUAUAUCUCAUGACCAUUAAGGUUUUCUAAUAUGCUAUGAAUAGUAGUGUUGGAUUUUUUUACUGACACAACUGAAUUCUUUAUUUUUUAAAAAAGGUACAGCUGUUAACUUUACUCUCAACUGUGAUAUAAUAUUUCUAAAUCUACAUUUUAUUACCAUUCAUUAAAAUAAAGGAUAAUGGUAACUAUUAACACAAUGGCUGUUAAUCUGAUGGAACAUUUUUUAGUUUUACAAGGCUGUCUGUAUAAAUAAUCAUUAAUCUUGAGGAUAUCAAAAAUAAAAGACUUAGAAACACUCAGUUUUUAAUUUUUAAAGAGAUUAUAAAACUGAGUUCUAAUGGCAGAAAACCCAUAAAACAAAGUCUUGAAAUCUUUUUCAUGUUUUGUAUAUAAAAUAAGAAUUUGGCUCAGUUAUUUCUGCAUUCUUUAGUUUGUUCAUUUUCUCACUGCUAAUCUAAAUUAAUAAAUACUUUGAGAAUAGUCAAUCUUCUAAACUAGGGAAGUGUUUUUAUGUAAAUAAAGAGUAUAUAUUUUAUGUGAUAAAUCUUUGCCCAAACUUUCACCAAUCAAGAAAUUUAAUAUUUUUAAGGGCAUGUUUAAAUAGGUGAAUUAGAGGUUUAGGUUUUCCAAAAGGUCUUUCCAAAGAUUUCCUAAAAGAAUAAUUUUAAGGCUAAGAUGGUUAUAAUAUAGAUUUUUCCCAUAGAGCAAAUAUUAAGAAAAAUCUGAUAUUAUGACUUUAUAGAAAUUUAAUCUCAGAAAUAGUGAAGCAUAAAACUGAAUGUAUGAGAAAAGGAACUGAUUUGUUAAAAUAGCCAAAUCAAUAAAGGUUAAUGUCAAAGAAUAAAACUGAAUUCUGAUGAAUUCCCAUGACCAAGCAGAUUGAUUUGGUGUUUCAUUUAUUUAUCAUUUCAUUUAUUUUCAAGGUUUAGAAAUUGAACUAUGCUUCAACUGAUGAAAAUUAUAUUAGCUUUGCAAGAUAUGAAAUUCACAGCCUUUUUACUUGGAAUGUUGAAAAUAAAUUCUCUGUUUUAAAAGUAAAUCUAUUUUAUUUAGCCUUUUAAAAAGAUUUAAAAUCAUGUCAAAUGCUAAGCAAAGCAAAGAGAUUUUAAGGAAAUGAUUUUUACUUAUAUUUUAAUAUAUACUAUGCUGACUCUUAGGACAAAGGAAAAACUAUUGACAUUUGUCUAACAAUUUCCUUCUAAACAUAUUC